GCCCGGAUGGCGAAACGGUAGACGCAGGGGGCUUAAACCCUCCGGGCCGCUGGCCGUGCGGGUUCGACUCCCGCUCCGGGCA
rnacentral:tRNA from 1 species